rnacentral:rRNA from 1 species
UACGAAGGGGGCGAGCGUUGUUCGGAUUUACUGGGCGUAAAGGGCGCGUAGGCGGCGCGGUAAGUCACUUGUGAAAUCUCUGAGCUUAACUCAGAACGGCCAAGUGAUACUGCAGUGCUAGAGUGUGGAAGGGGCAAUCGGAAUUCUUGGUGUAGCGGUGAAAUGCGUAGAUAUCAAGAGGAACACCUGAGGUGAAGACGGGUUGCUGGGCCAACACUGACGCUGAUGCGCGAAAGCGUGGGGAGCAAACGGG